rnacentral:rRNA from 1 species
GAUGAACGCUAGCGGCAGGCCUAACACAUGCAAGUCGAGGGGUAACAGAAGAAAGCUUGCUUUUUUGCUGACGACCGGCGCACGGGUGCGUAACGCGUAUGCAACCUACCUCUUACUGGAGGAUAGCCCGAAGAAAUUCGGAUUAACACUCCAUAGUAUAACAGUUUCGCAUGUUACUGUUAUUAAAGGUUACGGUAAGAGAUGGGCAUGCGUCCUAUUAGCUAGAUGGUAAGGUAACGGCUUACCAUGGCAACGAUAGGUAGGGGGCCUGAGAGGGUGAUCCCCCACACUGGUACUGAGACACGGACCAGACUCCUACGGGAGGCAGCAGUGAGGAAUAUUGGUCAAUGGAGGCAACUCUGAACCAGCCAUGCCGCGUGCAGGAAGAAUGCCCUAUGGGUUGUAAACUGCUUUUAUUUGGGAAUAAACCUCUCCACGUGUGGAGAGCUGAAGGUACCAAACGAAUAAGCACCGGCUAACUCCGUGCCAGCCGCCGCCGUAACAC